rnacentral:rRNA from 1 species
CCCUUAGAUGUCCGGGGCCGCACGCGCGCUACACUGAAGGAAUCAGCGUGGCUUUCUCCCUGACCCGAAAGGGUUGGGAAACCCGUUGAAUCUCCUUCGUGAUAGGGAUUGGGGCUUGAAAUUGUUCCCCAUGAACGAGGAAUUCCCAGUAAGCGCGAGUCAUAAGCUCGCGUUGAUUACGUCCCUGCCCUUUGUACACACCGCCCGUCGCUACUACCGAUUGAAUGUGCCAGUGAAAAGUUAGGAUUGGGCGUGGGAGACGGCAACGUAUUCCACAUCCGAGAAAAUCUUUAAACUUUCCCAUUUAGAGGAAGGAGAAGUCGUAACA